rnacentral:lncRNA from 1 species
UUUUUUUUCUUUUUCUUUUUUUAAAUUUUAUUCCAAGCUCUUCUAAAGAUGCCUAGCUUUUCCAGAUACCAGAUCUCUGUUGUGCAUAACAGCCCCUGCCCCUUGAGUAAAAUAACUAGUCCAAAUGGAAAGGGCUUUUGGAAAAAGUAUUUGGUUUAAAAUAGUAAAUCAGAGGCCAGUGGAUGGUGCCAGAAUAAUCUUGGAGGCAUCUAGAGUCAGGGUGGUGGAGCAUGGGGUUGGAUGAGACACAGACUGCCCCUUUCCCAAUCCUUCCAGAAUCUGUCAGGGAAGAGGCCAAGGGGACUCGGGGAGGAGAAGGCAUCAUUUAUAAUCAAGAUAGAAAGCUUUCCUCUCCUGGCUGGCCCAGUUGCGGCUCCUUUUGGCCACCUCUGGCCUGGACUAGAUUUUGUGCUCUUGAAUCAGCAUCUGCCCAGCUCCCAAGGGUUUGGUUCAUAAUCAAUUAGAAAUUUCUCUGGCUGAGCACCCUAUCCUCAUGACCUCCAAGAAAAUGAGUGAAUGCAGGGCUGGGGCCUAGUGGCCUUGUGAUCACUCCUUGACCCACUUCCAAAAACACUUUCUGGGGAGCGGCCCUCACUGACUCUUUGGGGAACUUGACUGCCCCUGCUGAGGGGUCAAGUGUUCAGCUAUCGGCAGCACAGAUGCUUCACAGCUUAGGGAGCCAGUGCUUCAACCUGACUACCCGGUUCCCUUCAAACUCACAAAGAGAGGGUGCUGGAAAAAGUCGGCUGAUUGGGUUCUCUCACUCCAUACCCUUCCCUUUCUGUUCUCCAUUGAGGGCCUGAAUAAAUGGACUCUAGCAGACAGUAGCUGGUACCUGAUGUUUUUCUUCACUCACCAAAUAUUUAUUGACUGCCUACUCUGUGUCAAUCCAUGUGUGCAACAGAGCGGCCUUUAUGUGUUUAUAAAAUCUAGUACACACGGGGGCACCAGUCUUGGAGGGGUUGGGGUCAGAGAAGGCUUCCUGAAGGAGGUGACAUCUAAUAUGAAUGAUAG